AUUGAACGCUGGCGGCAUGCUUUACACAUGCAAGUCGAACGGUAACAGGCCUUCUGGUGCUGACGAGUGGCGAACGGGUGCGUAAUGCAUCGGAACGUACCCAGAGGUGGGGGAUAACGCAGCGAAAGCUGUGCUAAUACCGCAUGUGAUCUGAGGAUGAAAGCGGGGGACCGAGCAGCAAUGUUUGGCCUCGCGCCUUUGGAGCGGCCGAUGUCGGAGUAGCUAGUUGGUGGGGUAAAGGCCUACCAAGGCGACGAUCCGUAGCUGGUCUGAGAGGACGACCAGCCACACUGGGACUGAGACACGGCACAGACUCCUACGGGAGGCAGCAGUGGGGAAUAUUGGACAAUGGGCGCAAGCCUGAUCCAGCAAUGCCGCGUGCGGGAAGAAGGCCUUCGGGUUGUAAACCGCUUUUGGCAGGAACGAAACGGUGUCCGCUAAUACCGGGCGCUAAUGACGGUACCUGCAGAAUAAGCACCGGCUAACUACGUG
rnacentral:rRNA from 1 species